rnacentral:misc_RNA from 1 species
UACGUAGGGGGCAAGCGUUGUCCGGAAUCAUUGGGCGUAAAGAGCGUGUAGGCGGUUGGAUAAGUCUUGUGUGAAAGUCGUUAGGCUCAACCUACGAAUGUCACAAGAUACUGUCCGGCUAGAGUCCGGAAGAGGCGAGUGGAAUUCCUGGUGUAGCGGUGAAAUGCGCAGAUAUCAGGAAGAACACCUAUGGCGAAGGCAGCUCGCUGGGACGGUACUGACGCUGAGACGCGAAAGCGUGGGGAGCGAACAGG